rnacentral:lncRNA from 1 species
UCGACGCGCCGCGCGCCGCGGACGCCGUCGCGCGACGCGAGCGACCGUCGCGCGCGUGGGAGUGGCGCGAACCGGGCUUCGUUCGUCGGACGGCGAACGUCAGUCGUCGUCGCGCGGCGCGACGCGCGGCGCGACGCGCGGAGGCGAUCGUUCGACGCGAAAAAAUGUUUCGGUGCGUUCGACGCGCGCGAGGGCGCGUCGAGGACGUCGCGCGAGGUGGACGAGGGGUGAAUGCGGCGACGCGCGAACGCAUCCGCGCCGCCGGACGACGCGCGAAUGAACGGCGUGACGACCACACAUGCCGCCCCAGUCAGACGACGUUUCGGCGUACGUGGUGAUUGGUUUAAGUAUACAGUCAUGCACGCAUGAUCGGACCGUUCGUUCGCGACGUCGGCGCGGAAGGGGCGCGAGGAUGGAGAGGUGGAGAUGGAGGCGGCGACGACGCGGCGGCGCGGCGGCGCGGCGCGUUUUUCGUUCGUUCGUUCGUUCGUCAUCUGAGCUCGGGAACGCGCGAUGCGCGUCGUGAAGAAUCGCGAGGAAGAUCGAACGCUAUUAACCCAGCUCGCUUUGAGCCUCGGCUUUGAAGAGACUUGUUCCAAACUACACGACAAUUGUCUGAGCGAAAUUCGCGCCGACCCGCGCGCGGGAACGAGGAAGAUGACGAACGGACGAAUGAAUGCAUCGAUGAACGCGGGAGAUGAGACGGGAUGAAGUUUGUUUGUUUCGCGCACUGACGUUGGAUUCGGUCGUCGCGAAUUCGCGAAAUCGCAGAGAACGAACGCGCUCGGAGACGCAGAGGCGGGUGGACGUUUGUUUGGUUAAAUGAGGUGCGUCUCGGACGUUCUUGUGUUUUCUCUCUUCUUCGCCGAAAAGCGAAUCGUUACGGAAAUGAGGACCUCUCUUUCCCCAAUUGAUCGAAGAUGAAAAGCAUAUAGAAGGCCGGUGCCACCGGCUAUACUUGCCAGUAUUAUCUGAUCCGUCAACGAUUCGCCGAACGCAUUCGGCGAAGAAUGGUUUUUCUUUUUUCUGUGACCGAACGAGGGACGACGCGGACGACGACGCGGGCGCGACGAGCGCGCCCAAAGAUUCUCUGGGGCGUCGCGCGAGUGGAGAUGAGGAAAUUGAUGGUCCGUGUUUACGAAUUACGGUGAUGAGACAACAAACAUCGGGUGUGACAACCCAGUUCCGAUCUGUUUACGUUCUCGAAGGCCCCCAUUGGUCGAUGCGUCGUCAUCGUCGUCCACGUUAUUCGCGUUUUCACAUCACUCGUUUGUUUGCUUCGCUAAGUUGGGCACUUUACUCCGUCAGUGUUUCUUUGCCCCGUUCCCUAGAAGCUAGAACGAUAGGUCGGCCCGUUGAAUCGAAGCUUCGGGUUCGGUCGCGCAACUGGUUUCUCGCUAUGUUUAUUCGCUGCUUACCGCGGGUAAAUACAUUGAGGCCAGACAUCUAUCGAUGCAUUUACGAUGACCAUUUCGUCGCGCGGGAUCGCCGAGUGGUUUGCGGGCUGUUACUUCAGGCAGCCGGGCGUGGAAUCCCAUCCAUGUUUGGCGUUAAUCAGCCCGUAAAGUAACGAGCUCGCAUUCUGAGCGGCCGCGGGGAAGUUACUUACUAUCUCGGCCCCGAUGCAGUUUGCUCUGGAAACCGGGCUUACACCUACUUCUGCCUUACCUCUGUUUUCGAAUCUCUCAUCUCGCGCGUUUUCUCGGUCACUCACCGAGUUGUUUAAUUUUCCCAUCGCAGAAAUCGCUAGCGUCGAGCUUUCCAAGACGACGCGAGCGUACACGGGUAGAAGUUUUAUAGGUGCGUGCAUCGUCGAACGGCGCGAAUGUUUCGUUUAUUUUCUAUGGAUGCGCGUCAUGGCGAGAGUGAUGAAAUGGUGAUGAUUGCGAUGAUUAUAACCUCGAGGCUGUUUGUUAGAAGGCCAUGUGCCUGUGCGCUCAAUCACUUCAAAAACGACUUCUCCUUUCGCUGAGCAAUCAUCACUUCAAUGUUAAGAACUCUCGUCGGCACAGCCGAUGAUGCAGCAAUUUCGUGUGCAGCGCAGUACGUCGUCGGGGAAUCUGGAUUUCCAGGCGAACCUUCCUCGAUCGCGGCGUAUGAGAAUCCGUUCUCGGCUUGGCACAAAUCGCGCGGUUACGCCGCUGUCUGAGGCUUGUCGCUGACCAUCUUUUUUCUUUACUCGUGGCGAACAAAUUUCACCAUACUGACCCCGAUCGUUUGGGUUUGCGCUCCACUCAGUACACAUAGGAUAUAGACGGUUAGAUGCAUAGAUGAUUAGAGAUUUGGUUACGACUCGAGCGCGAACGACUUCGCGAGCGGCGCAAGGACAUGACGAAAUACCAUUGUUUCACGACGGUCUUCUGAUGCCUCGGUUUUGAUGACUUGCAUGGUGCUAGUACUCCGAUCCUUUCUGUCGCUCGCACGUCGUUCGUACGACGAAUCAUUAGCGCGCGCGCGCACCGUUUGUAAAAAUAACGUCGCGCACAAAAAAACUUGUCUGGCAAUUUAGCGCAAAGC